UACGGGGGGAACGAGUGUUAUUCGUAAUGAUUGGGCGUAAAGGGCGCGUAGACGGAUUUGUAAGUUUGUAGUUAAUGCAAUUAUUUGUAUUACUUAGUAUACUACUGUCUAGAAUUAUAUAGAGGCUGGUGGAAUUUUGUAAGUAGGGGUGAAAUGCGGUACUUACAGGAGACCAACAACAGGCGGAGGCGACUAUUCAUAUAUAAUUGACGUUGAGGCGCAAAAGCGUAGGGAGCAAACAGG
rnacentral:rRNA from 1 species